AGGGCUGGAGGAAUUGCGCCAGAGGGGAAUGGAGUUACAGGCCUUUAUCCAGAGAUUCUGGACUGGGGCGGAGAGGCUGGGCGUUCAAGAUAUUUGCAGCUCCGGAAGGAGAGUAAGAUUAAUCACCAUCACCAGAAUCUAUCUGCAGGGACCAUCCCACCCAUACCUCACUCGUCUAAU